UUUGGGUCUCUGUUCUGGGCAGUCCAUGAGAGUUUGGACCUUUGAUAAGGGCGAUAGCACAGAUUAGCACAGCCUUGUACAAAUAGAUAAAGGAUGGAACUUAGGCAAACAGAAACCAUGCCAAAUGCAAGCUGCACACAAUCUCAGCUCUGCAAGGCUGACAAGGCAGAAAUUAGGCAAAACAGUAAUAUUGUGUAUACUCAGAAGUGGGGGUCAAGGAACAGGUCAAGGAACAGCACCUAAAAAGAACACCAGAUGUUGAAGUCAGAGCCCAAAGAACCAUACAAAGACUUCCAGGUUUGGCUGUGACCAUAUCAAAGAAAGUUAAGGAAGUGGGGAUAGCUGAUGAAUACGUAAUCAGUGUGUGUGAUAAAAUCUCUGUUCCCCCAACACUCGUGGCACUCGAUUGGAGGAAUGAUCCUCCGAGUGCCCAGUGCUGCAAUAAAGAAUGGCUGCUUUCUAGUCCUCAAAUUGUGUUAUAAAGUUUCUGGCUGGCCAAUUUCAGCAUCAUUUUUGUCAGAUCCAGAUGUGACACUCUGCCUGAUCUCCCGUGGAUCUGACGGGUCUCUGGAUCUUUAUGUCAGGACAGUGACUUUCCUGGAGAAGACCACAGACCCUCAGAUCAGUCUGGGACACAGUAAGACUUUACAGGAUUUCCAGUGAGCAGUGGAGAUCUCCAGACCGAUGGGAUUGGACACACCAGGGCACAAGUUUCAGCCAGGAGACUGGGUCUGCUUGAAAGAGACUGGGAAACUGCUCUGCUCCAGCAAAAGUGGAAGGGAUCUCUCCAAGUGCCACUGACAACUUUUUGCAAUGCACAGCUCUAGAAGAAAUCUGGACCAAAAUUAACUCCUGGUUACCCAGUUGGACUUGGUGAAAACACGUGUUUGUAAUGGUUACCACAAUAAUUGUUGUAUGGUUUUAAUUUGCAUCAUGAUUCAAUUUUGCAGCUGUUUUAGUGCCUUAUGCUAUAAAUGAAAUAGAGGUAUUGACAGACCAGUGCCCAAAGGAACUGAGUCUUAAACAACGGGGGAGCAUGAUAAGGACAGUAGAAGGGAACAGCAAAGAUACUGUACUUUAAAGGGACUAGAGGAACAGCUACCUAAAAAAGACACUGGACAUUGAAGAGAGACCCCAAAGAACCAUAUAGGACUUCAAAUAAGGGGUGUGACUAUGUCAGAGAAAGUCAAGUAAGUGGGGAUAGCUGAUGAAUAUGUAAUCCGGGUGUCUGACAAAAUCUCUGUUCACCCAGCACUUGUAGCACUUGAGUGGAGGAAGGAUCCCCUGAGUGCCCAGUGCUGCAAUAAAGAAUGGCUGCUUUCUAGUACUCAAA